GUGCCAAGCAUAUUCAAACCAUAAUACUUGGGGAGAAUCUUAGUACAGUGACCACAUUUGCCCCUCUUUGGAAAUUUUUCCCACUAUCCUGUGUUUAGGAUGAAGAAUAAGGGGUAAAAGUGGGUAAGGUAAAUCUCAAAGACAUUGUAAUUCACAGCCCUUAGAGAAAGGGCAUAAGAAUUAAGACUUUAACUUUUGAUAAUUUCAUAUCCAUUAGCAUCUAAAGAGCUCAAACUAAUUUACCCAGAUUAUACUGUUUUUAUUAAUUGCAGCAUUACAGUACUACAAGAAGACAUAAGCCAGGAGACAGUGGAGGUGUAGGAAAGUCAAUUACAUAGAUACCGAUGAUUUCCCAGCCCAAGGGGAGAAAACUGCAGUUCAAGCUUGUUUGGUUGAUUACAUACAAUCAAAACUUUCAGGUUCAAAAUGAAAACACCAUCACCAGCUCAAUUCCUAAGAUACAGAAUUGGUGCCAGAAGAGGCCACAGGAGAGACAGAUUCUGGAAUAUGGGCUUUGUGGAUAAAUUUUGUUUCCUCUUGUUGUUGAACACAGCACAGAGGAGUGAGCAGUUUCAUCCACCAGAAAGAACAUCACAGUGACAGGCAUCAUAGUUCAGCUGAUGUAGGUACACAGAUACACAUAUGGCCACCUCAAUAUCUACAUAUGUCCUGAGCAUAACUGAGAAUGCAUAUAAAAUCAAGCAAGAGCCUUCAAAAUAAACUAAGUACAAUAACAGGGUGUAUCUUUGGUGGACCAGUACAUAUUUUUUUAAAAAAUCAAAUAAUACUAGAGAGAGACCCAACCGCCUGGUCAGGUG
rnacentral:lncRNA from 1 species